rnacentral:rRNA from 1 species
AUGCGAGCAGAAAAUAGUCAGGGUAGUUCCGCGAGACACCAAGAAAGUGAGCAAACUUCAGCAAAUCUUGAAGAAAAUACUCAAGAUAAUUCUGCGAGAGCGAGACACCAAGAAGUUGAGCAAGAUUCAGUAGAUCGUGAAGAAGCUACUCAUCCGGUGCAAAUGGACGACAAUCUGUUAUCGACUGGUCUUACCCUCCAAGCUCAUUCACAAGGUGUUCAAGCCAGACUGCUACAAAUACCUGAGCAAGAUAUAUCUACAGAAAAUGAAUGCCAUAUUGAUGUUCCAGAAGCUCCAAGCUCCAUGCAGCAAGCUCUCCCUGAACAAGUAUGA